rnacentral:lncRNA from 10 species
AUCCCGACUAAGUGGCCGUCCUGGGAGUUAUAGUGCCACUAGCCGGCCUCGGCUGUUCCCUGUCCGAGGCUCUUGUCAUUUCCGCUUAUUUCCUCCACGGGUGCCGAUUUCAUGUGUGUGUUCCCGAGUGCCUGAGCCGGCUCCCGAAAUGAGUACUCGUGGUUUCCGCGUGGGAACCAACCUCGAGCGCCAGUGGCCCGCCCUCUCCGGGCUGAGGUGGCUGCUGAGGCUGGGGCUGCUCCUGAGGCUUCAGGGCCGCCCGCUGCACGGCUUUCUACCUUCCCAGGUUAGCCGCGGUCAACUUCUGCCAGGCGGAGCGAGAAAUCGCAUUUUGUCAGGGGCUGCAGCAUGCUGAAAGAAAACAGAAGCCUGUGGAGUGAGCCAAGAUCAACCAGGAAAUAAACCCUUUCCCUUGCGAUGUCUCUCCAGCGCCCUCUACUGACAAACCUGCUUUAGUGCCAGUUUGUAGAGAGACAGUUGGAUUUUUUUCCUGUUUCUGGUUAAUUGCUAAAAUCUACAGUGUGCUGAAGGUGGAGUAAAGUAUUUCCCCAAAGGAUUCCAAGCACAUCUCCCUUGCCCUUGAAUAUCUGUAUAUCUAUAUGAACAUCAAUUGAGAUAUAUAUGUGUGUGCCCCUAAUUACAUAAUUUUAAGCAUAUAUAUAAAAAUGUAAAAUCUCA